UUUUUAUUUUUAUUGAAUUGUUAAUAUCUUCAAUGUAGCCUUUCCAGUGCCUCACAAAGAGACUGACCUUCCAUAUAGUCCCUUCCCUAAAAAGGGCAUUCUGCUCUGGACUGUUAUCUGUGUUUUACUGGUCGAUCUAUUGUUUUUCUUGGUGGGCCUGCUUCUUCAAAACAAAUGCAAAGUAUCAGCCUGUUUUUCAUCAGUACAAGGUUCACGCUCAUGUGAAGACAACACAGUCUUGCAAGAGGAGUACACACAAGUGUCAUAUGGCCUGGUAGAGAAAGAUGGAGACAACUGAAUUGCCAUUGAUCGCAACCACAACUACUGCUUUGUAUGCAUCUAUCGAGCUUUAUAUAAAAUGAUUACUUAACACAGGUGAGAAAUAUACAGAGAAAAUUUAUAGAGAAAAAAUAGAUUUUGAAUUUGAUACAUGUUUCCAAAACAGAACUGGAAGUAUCCAGGGAAGACAUCGAGACUGUCAUCUAUUCUUCAGUGAAUUGAGGCUCAUGCAUCCACCCAUCCUAUCCUGCUUAUCCACUGUUGCCAACUCUUCAGUAAGGAGACUAUCUCAGUGUCAUAGGCCGGGAGGUGGUGUACACCUUGGACAGGUCACCAGUCUGUCACAGGGUUAACACAUAGAGUCAGACAACCAUUCGUACUCACAUUCACCCCUGUGGGGAAUUUAGAAACAUCAAUUAACCUAACCCUACUAACUGACUUACUGACUGAGGCCCAUACAUUUUUUAUUUGCUGGAUUUUCUUUUGCUAGACUAUUAAACAUUAAAGGUUAUUAUGCUAUUAACACAGAUUUCUUUUUUUCUCUCUCUCUGAAAUGGCACAUCUACAUUCUUCUGUGUGUAUUUUAAAUUUUGUUUAUUUUGU